UACAGAGGAUGCAAGCGUUAUCCGGAAUGAUUGGGCUUAAAGCGUCUGUAGGUGGCUUUUUAAGUCCGCCGUCAAAUCCCAGGGCUUAACUCUAGACAGGCGGUGGAAACUACCAAGCUGGAGUACGGUAGGGGCAAAGGGAAUUUCCGGUGGAGCGGUGAAAUGCGUAGAGAUCGGAAAGAACACCAACGGCGAAAGCACUCUGCUGGGCCGACACUGACACUGAGAGACGAAAGCUAGGGGAGCGAAUGGG
rnacentral:rRNA from 1 species